UGUUCCCUGUGUUAAAUGCUUGGUCAUUGGCCUGGGGUGUAAUUGGGAGGUGUUGAAACCUUUAAGAGGUGGAGCCUGGGGGGAGGGCGUAGGGGGUGCUGUCCUCAAGGGUGUGAUGGUCUUUGGCCCUCUCCUUCCCAUCUGCCACCACAUGGACUUGUGCCAUAACGUACUGUCUCCCCACAGGCCCCAAAGCAAGGGGGCAACCAACCCGGGACCGAAACGUCCAAAACUGAGUUGCAGUCAACUUUUCCUCUUUCUCUGCUGAUUAUUUCAGGUCUCUUGUACUGACUGCAGUUGGGAGUGCUGUUUCCGGUUGUGUGGUUCAUGCCCCAGUGAUUCUGUGUACGUUCUCUCUUCGCUCUGAUAAUGUGUUACUUCUGAGAUGGUACCCUGAAAGUGCCUUCUGAAGAACAUAAGAAAUUAUGCAUGGAGAUAGUUACCGUUGUACCUGUGACCAGAUCAGAAAGUUGGAAGGAAUAAUGGCCAACCACGAGAGAGUGCUACACAAAGGGUGGUACACUUACCCUACGGGAGCAUCAGUAAAGAGUAACAACGUUUUCUUGUUUUUCUGAGACAGGGUCUUGACUAUGUAGUUAUGUAGUUUCGGCUGCCUUAAGCUCAUUGCAUAGCCCAGGCUGGUCUUGAACUCAUGGCGAUCCUCCUACCUCAACCUCCUGAGUGCCAGACCCACCUACAAAAACUUCUGUAAGGAAUAUUAAACAACGUGGAAAAAAUAUUAUAAGGUUCAGUUUGAAAGAAAGUAAGAUACAACAUCGAAUAUAAAGACUAGGAUCAGUUGUGCUGAAGCCUAUGUAUAAAACAAAAAAUGAAAAAUACCAUAGCUGGACUUGUCUUUGAGUAUCUCUUUUUCUCUCGUAUAGUCUGGAUUUUAUUAGUGGUGAGAGCAAGCAAUCAGGAGCCAGAUUUCCUGUGUUCAAAGCUUGGCUCAACUACAUACUGACUGCGUAGUCUUAGUAAAUUGUUAAGUCUCUUGGUGUAUCUAUUUUCUACACUGACAGGACACACGUGAUUCUGCUCUCCUUGGAUGACUUCUCCAGCACUCUAUGGCUCUCUGCAGAUUCUCCUGCUCUCUAGGGGGCUUUUAACUGCCCAUUCUGAGAGGUAUUCAAAUACCUCCUAUAAGCCAGGCAAA